AGAAGAGGUAAGAGCAUGCGAAACUGAUAAGGCGAUCUUACUUUUGAUAUAGCCAGUUCUAAUGAAAGCAACCGCAUUUUUUUCUGGGUAUGUUCCGCCUAUUGCUAAAUAGUAUAAUAUUUGCUAAAUAGUGAAUUAAAAUUUGAAGUUGCCUAAUGUAUUCCAAAUACUUACUAGGUAACGUAUUUAAUAAUCUUAUCUAACAAGAUAAGUUUUGUUUUUUGUUUUUAAAUAUGUCUGCUUUGUGUUUAUAUGGGGUUAUUCACAAAGGUGCAAAUUGUCAGGAAUUAAAAAUGAAUUGAAAGGGAUUUUCAGAUUUUAGGCCAAAUUAGCCAAACUGAAAACAUAGCCAAAAUAUUAAAAUUUGGCUGUUUGUACUUAAAAUUUCAAAUUCGUUUUAAAUCUAAUUUGAAUUUCCAACAAAUCACAUGUUGGGGAAUAACCUUGACAGUGUGUUUUGCUGCGGUUUGUUAGUAAUGUAUUCUUCUUCACUUAUUACAUAGGUUCUGAUUAAUUUGCUUUGUUUGUUGUCUAUUUUGUAUACAAAUUAAUCUGCGCUAUAACCAAUAAAUAUUUGUAGAACAACAAAAGAAACAAUUGUCAUCAUACACACAAAAAUGUACAAAUGACAUUGGGAUAGCCAUCAAUCACUACAAAAUGCAGUUAGGGCAGCACACCUAGUAUAUAUCUCUUCAAGAGAAAGUCAGUGGAUCACCACAAGAAAAAAACACUGUAUAUAUAAAGUCAGAAACAAUAAAUAGUGCUUGUGUCACUCAGGCUAAUAGUGUGUCAAAACACUACCAAAAAAAUGUACUAAAAAAAAUAAAAAUUCAGACAGAAAAGUUUAAAAAUUCAGAUUAAAACACUCAAAAAAUAGUAAAUAAAAAGAGCAAAUUACAAAUAUUACAUAAAUAUAAAUUACCUGCUUAUAUGGUUAUCAAAGUCCAUAAAAUAUAUAAAAAUUGCCUUAAUAUGUUGUCCAUAAAAUAUAUAAACAUGGAUAUAAAAAUGUGUUACGUUUGCUUUGUGCAGAACCAAGAGACUUUCUAGAUCAUUAUAUUUUUGGUUUCCCUUUUAACAAUGACAAAUUAUAGUUAUUGUUAUUUGAUACAUUUUGUUAAUAUGCAGUUCGUUACUUGCAAAGCUAUUCUACCCUCUCAAAAUAGUUUAUACCAGAUUAUUUUCUGAAAAGUAUUUUUACUUCCUUGCUGAAUAUGACGCACCACUCAUUGGAGAAUAAAAUAAAAUUCAUCUGAGGUCUAAAUUUCAGGUUAUCAAGACACCUUCGAGUUACAAUGUUUUAUUCAUAUGCUAAAUGGAUGGAUACCUUCAAACUUAUGCUACUCUGCAUAAUGAUCAUAAAUACUCAAGGUAAGACAACUUUUCUACUGUUAGUAAGAAUAUACAAAUGUCAAAUUAAUAUCCUUAGCAUUAGCAGUUUUUUUUUUUCAAUUUACAUUAUAUUAUUUGUUCCUUUUGAUUAUACAAACAAUAAACAAACAUAACACCAACGGCAGAACUGUAAUAAGAGGAGAAGGAAAAAAAAACACAAACACAAAUUGCUCUGUUUUUUUUUCCUUUACUUAAUUUUGCCACCUUUGUAUCAUUGCUUUUCCUCCAGUUUUUCCUUCCUUAUAUUCUGAAGUAGAGUUUGAUAGAAUUUGGAUAACUUUUUAUUACCUAAUAUAAUUUUUUAAAGGAUGCAGGGAUUCAAAUAUGCAUAUUCCUUUAAUGCCUAAGGUAUGUAAAUAUGAUCAUGUUUAAAGAUACAUAAUACAUUGUUUUUUUGAAAUAUCAUAUUUUCUACACAGUAUUUGAGUAUUUGAACAUUACAAAUACCUCUAGAGCAGCGAUGGCGAACCUAUGGCACGCGUGCCACAGCUAGUACGCUGGUUUGCAGCCUUAGGCCCACCGGCGGCAGGGCUGGACUGGCCCACCAGGAUACUGGGAAAUUUACCGGUAGGCCGCCUGCCUUGAGACCACUAUGUGCUUUGCCUGCACCCAACCACAAUAAUUACAGGUCUCUUUAACUAGAUAACCAUAACAUUUUAGAAAGUAAGUGGUUUGGUGGAAAUGACUGUUCUAACUAAACCCAAAAGAAACCAUUUUGAAGGUAACACCAAUUGUUCCGCUUUUAUACUUUUAUAGAUAAUUGGGCAGACCAGAUGGGCCGAAUGGUUCUUAUCUGCCGUCACAAAAAAAAAGAAAUUACUUAUUUUUUUUUCACUUUACCAUCAGUGUUUGUUCUGUUGGUCUAUUUUUCUUUCAAUGUCAAUCCUAACCCUGUUCCAUGUCAAAAAUAUCCACGGUUUUUGUAAACUUUGGCCUGCGGUAGGUACCUCCUUGUCACAGCCCCCCUAAGCUGUAGAGUGACCCGUCACUGAGAAUGUGUCGAGAGUAGACCCUCUUGUUGGGAAUGCUAGGGAACUUAGUCCAGGAACGUGUCUCAAGAUCAAAAACCACAAUGUGCUCACAGCGUAUUUGGACUGGCGGCCACCUGCAAGAUUUAAGUAGUGGUAAGAUUUUGUUUAAUGUAUGUAGCAAAAGCAGAGUCACAAUGAAAAAUGGAUAAUUGUGGUAUUAGGGUGGCAACCGCAAACAACAUCUAUGCUGCCCCAUAAGGCCAACUGAUGUGUAUGUCGUCACAACAAUUUAGUCCCGAAGCAUCCUGUCCCAGCAUAGAUUUUUCUGGUUAUUUAACACAGCUGUAUACAAAUCUUUAUAGACUAUAUUUUAUAAUUGAAAUAUUUAUCCAUUGAUCUUUAAGGUGAUAAAGUAUGUGUGAUCAUACCAGUGAGAACAGACAUUUGUUAUAGAUUCCGCAGAAAUUGUGGAGAGAAGGAUUGCCAUUCUUAUGAAGGCAGUGAGAGGCUGCUGCAUUGUCUAAAGGGGUGUUUGUGACUUUAUGUAGAUAUGUUCAAAACACAUGCAAAGCUAUUCACUAAAAGUCUGAAUUUGGUCCAGAUGGGAAAAAAAAACACAACCAAAUUUAAACUGGAUUUGCAAUUCUUAGUAAAUACCCCUGGAAAAGCCUAAUUGGCGAAACACGCAACGGGACUGUUAUGUAUAGGGUUGGACAAAAGACAUAGGAUGACAUUUUUCCUAUACUACCUGAGACAAUACCACCCAUACUAGACUUUUAUACAUUUAUUCAUUACACGCGUAUUCUCUGUUGCUCGUUUGAUUUUUCACCUCACCCAAGAGGUCUUCUCAGUUAAUUAUCUGUAUUAUCAUUCAUUAUUUUUUAUUUUCAUUAUAUAUUCUUUCAAGGAUAUUUUCUAUUUCCUCGGAUGGAAGGGGGGUUUAGCAUUUAUUAAGGGGUGCCCUCGAAAGCACAGUAGUGUAGAGACGGGCUGUACUUGCUCAUCUAUACUCUGAAUCUCAUUUCACUCUAAUAGACGACUUGCAACAUUAUAACCUUGUCUCACUUUAUGUUACCAUUUAUCAUGUUAUUUAUUUUUCGUUACUUAACCUUUUUAUAUUUAUUUUACACAUUGCUAAUUUCUGUGAUAUUAUUCUCCACAGUUUUAGAGUGGAUAGUCUCUGAUUUUUCUAUUUUUUUUCUAUUUUCCUUAUUUCAUCUUCUAUUUUUUAUUUUUGCUUCUUACAUUGUUUAAUUUCAUUUAUUCACUAUUAUAAGUUUAUUCUUAUUUAUUUAUACAUAUUUUUCUAUACCAAAGUUUUGUAGGAUUUAUUCCUAAUCUAGAUACUCUAUUUGAUCCUCUUUGAGAUUGAGGUUUUCAUACGCAUAUAUAUAUAUAUAUAUAUAUAUAUAUAUAUAUAUAUAUAUAUAUAUACAUACACACACAUCUCUGGCUGAAAACUAAAUAGAUUUGGGCCAAAAUGACUGCUUUGUAAUAUCAUUUAAGUUCCGGGACUCACAACCCACCUCUUUCCUUGUUGUAAGGCUGAAGUUCCAAAACAAGGUCUUUUACCUCCCCAGAUAAAUGUAUUCAUUUAUUUUUUUAAGAAAAGAGAAAGGUAACUCAGCUGGAAGAGUACAUGAUAUAUAGAUAUAUAACAUAAUCAUUUCAACACAAGCAAUUCUUCCCAACCAUGAUAAUUCAAAUUGUCAGAUUCCUUUCAUAUGGACAUUAUUUUUAAUUUUCGUAAAUCCUCUGUUAUAUUAAAAGACAAGGCAUUAGGUUUAUUAACAGCCAGUUUGUCAUAUGAAAUUUCAAACACGUCAUAUAAAGUGGUGAUUGAAUAAGGAAAUACGUGGGUUGCAAAUAGCUAAAAUUAUAUUGUCCGUAAAAAAAGUUCUGUGGUAUAUUCAUUCCCAUUAUAUAGGUAUUCUUUGAGUAUAUCCUAGUACAACCUUCAGAACUUCAGAUGUUGUAGAAUGCAUCUCCCUUGAUGCUUUGGCCACUUAUGGCUGUGAAAGCAUUAUGGGAGAUGUAGUCAGGGCCGCCAUCAGGGCAUGACUGCCAUAACGGUUGUAAUGGGCCUGGGGGGCCCGGACUGCUCAGGUGGCCCCAGGCCCCACAUUCAGUGGCGUACAUACCGGGAUCGCAGGGGGCCCGGCCGCCCUGCGACCCAGUAUGUAUGCCAGUGUGGCCAACCUCUUCUCAGGGCCCACCGAGGCUGGCCCUGGUGUCACCGGGCGGGCUGGCUGGCGCGCAAGGGAGCACGCUCCCCUGAGUGAUUCCUCUUCAGCUCCCUCUUGCACCGCAGUGAUACCGGAGCCGGAAUAUGACGUAAUCUUCCGGCUCCGGCAUCAGUACACUGCGCGCGAGCGAGCUGAAGAGGAAGCACUCAGAGAGAGAGUGCUCCCUCACGUGCCCGCCAGCCCGCCCGCAGGACCGGCCGCCGGGUGACACCACUGGACCCCAGGGAAUCCCCUCAGCACUUCCAAAGGUAGGGAGGCUGGGGGGAUAAAAUAAAAAAAAAGAAACGUGUGUGUGUGUGUGUGUGUUAGUGUGUGUUAGUGUGUGUGUGUCAGUGUGUGUGUUAGAGAGUGUGUGUUAGAGUGUUUCAGUGAGUGUGUUCCUGUGUGUGUCUGUUACUGAGUGUGUUAGUUUGUGUGCGUCUGUUAGUGAGUGUGUGUCUGUCAGUAAAUGUGUGUGUCUGUUAGCUAGUGUGUAUGCGUCUGUUCGUGAGAGUGUGUGUCUUACCUGAUCCGCCUCUCGGCUCCGAAUGCGCAUGCGUGGCAAGAGCCGCGCGCGCAUUCAAACCGUCCAUGAGAAAUAAAUUACUCAAUGGAAGGGGGAGAUCACGUUGGCUGGAGCCCUGGAGCCGGAGGUCCUGAGUAUUGGUGCAGCCCCCACUACCUGUAUUCUGCACGGGUCCCAGCACACUUGAAAUAUACUGGCCAGAUGCUCUGCUCUGUCAAAGUCUCAUUCCUCAGGACCUCCGGCUCCAGGGCUCCAGCCAAUGUGAUCUCCCCCCUCCAUGGCCACAGGUGAGAUACAGGGAGCGGGGAAUAAAACAAUACAAUUAAUGGAUGGAAAAAUAAACUGUAGGCUUUCCCCCCCACAUUUUGCAGCCCCAUACACUUACACACACUAUACACUAACAUUUACACACACUAUUCACUAACACACACACUAUACACUAACAUUUACACACACACUAUUCACUAACAUUUACACACACUAUACACUAACAUUUACACACUCUAUUCACUAACAUUUACACACACUAUACACUAACAUUUACACACACUAUUCACUAACAUUUACGCACACUAUUCACUAGCAUUUACACACACUAUACACUAACAUAUACACACACUCUGGAGUCACUACACAAACACACACACACUCUGCAGUCACUACACACACUACAUCCUUACACAAACACACACUCUGCAGUCACUACACACACUACUUCCUAACACAAACACACACUCUGCAGUACCUACACAAACACACACACACAGCAGUCACUACACACACUACAUCCUUACACAAACACACACUCUGCAGUCACUACACACACUACUUCCUAACACAAACACACACUCUGCAGUACCUACACAAACACACACACACUUUGUAGUCACUACACACACUACAUCCACUACACAAACACACAGUCUGCAGUCACUAUACACAUAUUAAAUACUUACACAAACACACACUAUGUAGUCACUAUACACACACUACAUCGACUACACAAAGACACACCCUGCAUCCACACACUGUAUUCACUAAACACUACAUCCACUAUACACACUCUGCAUUCACUACACACACACUACAUCCACUACACAAACACACACUCUGCAUUCACUAUACACAUCGCAUUUAAUACACACAAACACUACAUCCACUACACAAACACACAUACACACUCUGCAUUCACUAUAAACACACACUACAUCCACUACACAAACACACACUCUGCAUAUAAUAUACACCUCAUACAUUACACAAAUGUACAAUCUGCAUCCACUAUACACACUGCUUCCGUUAAACACACACCGCAUCCACUUAACCCACAAACUCUGCAUCCACUACACACAUUCUACAUCCACUAUACACACACCAGAAUCAGUACAGACACUGCAUCCCUGUGGGCGGACUCGGGGGGGGAGGGAGGCAGCACAUUGGGCGGACUCGGGUGCAGGCACCGUGGGGCCCAGACCUUGAGCUGUGUCAGGGGCCCCAAAAUUUCUGAUGGCAGCCCUGGAUGUAGUCCACAAUAGCUGGAGUGCCAAAGGUUGCCUAAACCUGCCCUAGUAGUUGGAGCUGAGUACAGGGCUAAUAUAGCUUUUUAAAAACAUAUAGGAAAUGCAAAAUGUUCUAAAACCUGAAAGAAAUAACCCCAAUGUACCCUGUUGAAAGUGUUCUGCAUCUAAGGAAAGUUGUAGAGAAAGUAUUCAGAAUUUAGGAAAGAAUAUCCACAAAUCAAUGCAUGCUAUAUGAGGUCUGUUAACAAACCGAGCUUGAUUUCUAUAUAUAAUACUUGGUACUAUAUUGAUACUUAAUGUGAAUAUUACUGUUAUGUUCCCGCCAUGGCAGGGCUGAGGUUUACUGGUAAAAUUAACAAAUGGAGUAAGAAUUUAGGGAAAAACAGCUAUAUUCAAAUUGUGUCCUGUUAUACAAGGAGGCACAAACACAUAUGUUACUAAGUAAAAAAAAAAAAAAACUGUAGUUGUAUCCCCAAAAGCAAUGCUGUAACAAACCAUAAACUCCAUCAUUAGGAUUUUAACACAAAAUAACCAUUGUCUAUGCUGUCUGUGGCAUUUUAUGCCUUAUGAGCACUUACACAUAGACGCUAUAUGAUACAAUUUAACUGUAUUUGAAUGUAUCUUUAAUUACCAACAUAGUAACAGGUCUGCUGUUUCCUUAAAGAGACUAAAGAUCCACCCUUACACAAUUUUAAAAAGUCAAGAAAAGUGUAAGCACACCUAUAUUUUAUAUCUAAUGUUAUAAUGAUAGUUAAUUCAAUGUUUGCAGAAGAUUAUACAUACAAUUACUAAAUGCAAAAGGCACUAAAGUAUUAACUUUAUUUAUAUUCAUAAUUUAAUGUAUUUAUACCUUUAGAUAAUGGUGACUUCUAUAGCUUAAUGAAGGAGUGUUGGUAUAUAGAUCAUGCCUCUUCAGUCUCACUGCUCAAUUUUCUGUCAUCUAGGAGUUAAACCACUUUGUUUAUGCAGCCCUAGCCACACCUGCAAGUAACAUGAAAAUCCUUCCUAAACAUAGAAACAUAGAAACAUAGAAUGUGACGGCAGAUAAGAACCAUUCGGCCCAUCUAGUCUGCCCAAUUUUCUAAAAACUUUCAUUAGUCCCUAGCCUUAUCUUAUAGUUAGGAUAGCCUUAUGCCUAUCCCACGCAUGCUUAAACUCCUUUACUGUGUUAACCUCUACCACUUCAGCUGGAAGGCUAUUCCAUGCAUCCACUACCCUCUCAGUAAAGUAAUACUUCCUGAUAUUAUUUUUAAACCUUUGUCCCUCUAAUUUAAGACUAUGUCCUCUUGUUGUGGUAGUUUUUCUUCUUUUAAAUAUAGUCUCCUCCUUUACUGUGUUGAUUCCCUUUAUAUAUUUAAAUGUUUCUAUCAUAUCCCCCCUGUCUCGUCUUUCCUCCAAGCUAUACAUGUUAAGAUCCUUUAACCUUUCCUGGUAAGUUUUAUCCCGCAAUCCAUGAACCAGUUUAGUAGCCCUUCUCUGAACCCUCUCUAAGGUAUCAAUAUCCUUCUGAAGAUACGGUCUCCAGUACUGUGUACAAUACUCCAAGUGAGGUCUCACCAGUGUUCUGUACAAUGGCAUGAGCACUUCCCUCUUUCUACUGCUAAUACCUCUCCCUAUACAACCAAGCAUUCUGCUAGCAUUUCCUGCUGCUCUAUUACAUUGUCUGCCUACCUUUAAGUCAUCAGAAAUAAUCACCCCUAAAUCCCUUUCCUCAUAUGUUGAGGUUAGGACUCUAUCAAAUAUUCUGUACUCUGCCCUUGGGUUUUUACGUCCAAGAUGCAUUAUCUUGCACUUAUCCACAUUAAAUGUCAGUUGCCACAAUUCUGACCAUUUUUCUAGUUUACCUAAAUCAUUUGCCAUUUGGCUUAUCCCUCCUGGAACAUCAACCCUGUUACAUAUCUUAGUAUCAUCAGCAAAAAGACAUACCUUACCAUCAAGACCUUCUGCAAUAUCACUAAUAAAAAUAUUAAAGAGAAUGGGUCCAAGUACAGAUCCCUGAGGUACCCCACUGGUGACAAGUCCAAGCUUCGAAUAUAUUCCAUUAACUACAACCCUCUGAUGCCUGUUACUCAGCCACUGCCUUACCCAUUCAACAAUAUUUGAAUCCAAACUUAAAGAUUGCAGUUUAUUGAUAAGCCUUCUAUGUGCAACAGUGUCUAUAAACACUUACUAUAAAGUGAGAUCUAAUGUUUACACUUCCUUUAUUGCAAAUUCUGUUUAAUUUAGAAUUUCAUAUCUCCUGCACUGUUAAAUGCUUGUAUGCCAGAAGAGGGAAAUAGCCCAUUAUUAUUAUUAUUGUCAUUUACAUAAUGCAAACAUAUUCAGCAGCGCUUUAUAAUAUUAUAAAAGGGGGAUAUUUAACAAUAAAUGAGAUAAUUACAAAACAUUACAGGAGCAAUAGGUAGAUGAGGACUCUGCUCAAACAAGCUUCUUAAUUUACAGGCCAAUAUGCAAGGAGGACAAGGAGUGGAAUAUAGUUUGUCACUUAUUGAUUGAAGAAUAGGUGAAAUGCAUUAGUGUUAUUUUACUUAGUAUUUUUAAUUUUAUGAGCUGUAUCUAAUAAAAUUUGUGAAUUUUUAUUGUGCCUUGAAACACCCAUAAGAUUUUUUUAUUACUUCUUGGAACAGCCCACAAGACUUGACAUUUUGGAAAUGCUCUGAUCCAGUCUUCUAGCCAUCACUAUGUGGCCCUCACCAAAGUCACUCAGAUAUUUUCGCUUGUCCAUUUUUCCUGCUUCUAACACAUGAAAUUCAACAUUUAGCGCUUCCUGGCUGGAGCAGGGGAAAAACCUUAGCACUUCUGCCCCAGUCUCCGUGGCUUGACUGGGGGGUCCUGGAGCGGGAUAGAGACAAUGAUUAACUCUUUUCUCCCCCAGUAACUGGAUGACACAUAGGUCUGGGAGUCUAACACAAAUACUUUAUUGGUACAGUCAAUUUAUACACAGAUAUUCGCAGGGGGUCUCCAUUCUAUUCAGCACAAGUCCCUCAGUCUCAGGCUGGAGGGGGAUGGUUUACAGAUAACCAUCUCCCGCUCUAGGAGAUACCAACAGUACAACAAUUACAUACAGUAAGACACAUCACAUAUAUUUGGAAAAACAUAGGGGGAUCCACCCCCCCGGGAUGGAAAUGGAGCACACACACAUAAAACAUACAUCCUGGGAUCCCAGCUAGGAUCCCUGCAAAUCAUUUCCAAGACAGGCGGCAUUAUAUGGUGAAACAGGCAUACAUAGUCCUGUUGGAGCUCCCACUCCUGGUUAGACAGAAAAGACAGAUCCGGCUGCAGUUCCGCUAUCUCUAUAAGGGCCAAGCUGUCUUCCCGCUCAACUCGGAUGCACCAGAAGCGGGAACUGUCAGUGUCUCCUAACACCAAACCAUCUUCAAAAACCUCCCACAAAAGACCAGGGCCAUUGUAGUCCUUCUUGAUGCAUUGGAGAUUGACUAGCCAAGGGUAGAUAGAGAAUGCAUGCCACUAAAAGGCUCAGAACGACUCAUCCAACCACACUUCGGUUAUGACAAGCGUCUCUAGUUCUAUUACCAAUUCCUCUAAUGGCUGGUCUCCCUGAAAUGGCAUCCGCAGCUUUAGUUGUUCCCAUCAGCGCUGGUUGGAGGUUGGGAGUUCCUCUCUCCUGAAGAAGAACGUUUCAAAUUGCCACCCUCCAUUCUGAUAUGCUCCUGUCCGAGAUAGGGUCAUCACUUCAGUGCCUUCCAUAUCCCCGUUCCCGUAGGUGGGUGUCCCCGAACAGGUGCUGGUUCCCCACAGCUUGGAAGCCAUCCCACCACUGCCAUCAAUUGUGGCAGAGCUCCCUGUACCCUGGCUGGGUACCUCCACCAGGAACUGCAGAGGAAAAACCUCAGCACUUCUGCCCAAGUCGCCAUGGCUUGACUGGGGUCCUGGAGCCUCUCCGCCAUGGAGCAGGCUAUGGACAGUGACACUCUGGUACUUUUACAUAGCACAGUAAUGUGCGAUAAAAGAAAGAUUCUUGGUGUGAGAGAGCCGCGUCCGGGCACUCACCAGAGUGUACUGCACAUAUAAAUGCAGAAAAUUUGGCAGAGUCAUUAAACAAUUUACUUAUAGAUAACAGAAACCGUCAGCGUAUUAGUUAUCAAAGAGGAUGUUUAAGCGUCCACUCUCUAAGGUUUUUUUCUCCCCCCAGUAACUGGACGACACACAGCUCUGGGAGAUACCAACAGUACAACAAUUACAUACAGUAAGACACAUCACAUACAUUGUGGAAAACUUACGGGGUUCCGCACCCUGGGAAGGAAAUGGGGCACACACAUAAAACAUACAUCCUGGGAUAGCCUCGGGCCCCAGGUAGAAUCACUGCAAAUAGUGGGGCUAUAGGAUGUACAAAGCCCGAGAAAUCAUUGUGUAAAGUCUGGGCUUGGGGCUCCAUACAUACCCGAAAACAGUUCCAUGGAAUUACUUGGUUUAGGCCGUUAAAUUCAAACUUCGAGCCUAAACCAGAGACAAAUCAGCGCUCAGGGAGGGGAGGCAUUCUGAGCUAAGCCCUUUAACUUGUGCCUGCCUUUCAGGGGAAAGCUCAGAAAACCAACUUGCACCAAUUGGUGCUCAGGCAGGGGAGGUGUUUUGCCGGCCAAUUUGAUUGAUAGCCCUUCUCCUAUUGGCUGGCACGGACUUCCAGGCGGCCAGCGGGACUCUGCGGCUGUGAAGCCAACUCACAGUUCCAGGGAUUCUGCUGGGGCUCGUGUCUCUCUCUGGUGGAUAUUUCCACAUAGUUAGCACCAGAGCGAGCUCUCUUUGGGCAGCCACUAGCCUGGACUCGUAGCUCCCAGAUAGGGAGCCCCUGCAGCCACUGUCUGCCUUGCUGACAGUCCGGCUGCAGGCAGGAGGCUCCUGGAUCUUCUCUGGCCAGUGAUUAUGGCUCCAUUAGGAGCAGGUAGGGCGAUCCCCCACAGGAGGACCUGAAAACAAUGAGGGCAAGCAAGUGGGCACGGUACUCAGUGACAGCAUUCCGUCACACAAGAAUUGACUGUUCAAUUGCUGCCUAAUAUAUCCCACCCCUAGACAGGUGCUUUUGUAACAAUAUAAUCAAUGUUAUUCACUUCACCUGUCGGUGGUUUUAAUGUUGUGGCUGAUCAGUGUAUUUAUUAUUAUAUUUUUAUUUUCCCAAAGUUAGUUUGUAGUUAUCAGGGCAUAUAAGAUAUAUGACAGUUUAUGUACAUAUCUAUAUGUAUGGAUAAAUAAUUGCCAGUUAAUUGGUUUCUCUCUAGCUGAUCCCUGUACAUUUCUUGAAUUUUCCAAUGGAGUUGUUGAAUAUUCUGGUUUUUUGCCUGGAUCAAUUGCAACUUUCACGUGUCAUGACGGGUGAGCUUACACAUAAUCAAUUAUUUUACAACCACACAUUUGCAAAGAAAUACAUGUAUGACAAUAAUCUUAUUUUUACCUAGGUAUCAUCUUAGUGAAGAUACAUCUAUGCAGUGUUUGGAAGAUGGUCAAUGGAAAGGCAUUCUCCCUAUGUGUCGACG